CGGAGUCUCGCUCUGUCACCCAGGCUGGAGUGCAGUGGCGCGAUCUUGGCUCACUUCAAACUCCGCCUGCUGGAUUAUAGGCAUGAGCCACCGUGCCUGGCUGGUCCUCCAUUUUAAUACCCCGCUUCCCCAGGAAAAUGUAUUGCUGUUUAUGGACAGCUCCUUCAUUCCAGAAAACGUCCUCCCCCAAACCUCUUCCUCCCCCGAGAACCUGCCUCCCUACUUCCGGUUCUGUGAGUCCGGUGAGGUUCUGUGGGACUCAGCUGAGACCCCAAGGGGAAGAAAGUAGGGUUUCUUCCCCUACUUCCUCCUUCACUCCCCCGACUCCAUGGUCUCUCCACCCUCCCGGUGGGUUUUUUUUUUCCACCUGGUGAAUCUUCUCUGCAAUCAUUUCCUUGGAAUCUGACUGUCCCCCCACCACACACACCUCCAUUUCCUUUCCCCAUCUCAGGACUCUUUUCCUUCCUUGAGUUUUUUGUCUCCAUGCAUGUAUAGCUUUCCAUGGGUACUCUUGACUCAGUUUCCCUCCUCCUUUAUCCGAGGUGGUGAUAUUUCCCAGCUCAGACAGCCAGGCGCACCCUCCGGAGCUGCUGUUCUCAGCCUCACUGCCCGCCCUGGGCUUCAGCACCUAUUCGGUAGCCCAGGUGCCUCGCUGGAAGCCCCAGGCCCGCGCACCACAGCCCAUCCCCAGAAGAUCCUGGUCCCCUGCUUUAACCAUCGAAAAUGAGGGCUGUUGAUGGAGAUUAUGAACAUGAAUCAGCAACUCCUGCUGCCUGUUCGCCAGACCUUCUUCUGGUACAACGCCAGUAUAGGUGACAACGAAAGUGACCAGGCCUCAGGUGCCUACAUCUUCAGACCCAACCAACAGAAACCGCUGCCUGUGAGCCGCUGGGCUCAGAUCCACCUGGUGAAGGUCAGGGACUAGGAAUGAUGAGUGGGCAGUUGGGAAUGGGGAAAUUAUGGAGCCCAAGAGGGUGGUGGGCCAUGUGUAGAGUGAGGGUAGG
rnacentral:lncRNA from 1 species